GGAGAUGCAGCUCAUUUGGUAGAGUGCUUUCUUAGCAUGUGUGAGACCCUGGGUUCAAUCCCCAGCACCCCCA
rnacentral:tRNA from 1 species